AUGGCGGCGGCGGCUGGAGACUCCGACUCCUGAGAGGCAGACGCAUUCUCCGUGGAAGACCCAGUGCAGAAGGUGUGGGGCGGCAGCACUGCCGGUGGGGACCGCUAGGAAGGCGAGGACUAGGACGAGGACGUCAAGGAUAACUGAUAACAAUGAUGACGUAAAAAAAGAAGCAGCAGAAGUAAAACCAGAGGUUAAAAGUUCAGAAAAGAGAAAAACAGCAGAGAAGAUAAAAGAGAAAGAACGGCAACAGAAGAAAAGGCCAGAAGAAAUUAAAAAGAAGUUAGAAGAACCUGAAGAACCUAAAGUGCUAACACCAGAAGAACAAUUAGCAGAUAAACUGGGGCUAAAUAAAUCACAGGAAGAGUCAGACCUCUAAUUAGCAAAGGAAACUUUUGGUGUUAAUAAUACAGUUUAUGGAAUAGAUGCUAUGAGCCCAUCUUCAAGAGAUGAUUUUACAGAGUUUGGAAAGUUACUAAAAGAUAGAAUUACACAAUAUGAAAGGUCACUAUAUGAUGCCUUUCUUUUUGGAAAUCUUAGUUCGAGAUGUGUGUAUUUCAUUGGAAAUUGAUGACUUGAAAAAGAUGACCAAUUCACUGAAAACAAAGCAAAACCAAAAAGAAGAAAGUUGUGGUUCCUGGAGGGGGGAUAAAAGCUACCAGGAAAGAUGAUCUGGCAGAUUAUGGUGGUUAUGAUGGAGGAUAUGUAUAAGACUAUGAAGACUUCAUGUGA